rnacentral:lncRNA from 1 species
CAGCUGAAGGCCAAGCACUAAUCAAAGUGGUCAGAUUGGGGGAGGUGAAACAGCAAAGAGAAGUUGUAUUGGUAGACCUCCCCCAGCCACAACAGGAGUCCUACAAAGUGCUCGAUAAAAAAGAAAAUAUGAACAAUUAAUGACGAACAAAAAGCACAAUUCAAAAUUUUGAUCUAUAUAAUUCUAAGAGCAAGUUGGAAAGGAAACCAAGAAGAAAAUGGUGUGACAGGCAAAUGGAGGCCAAUUGGCAGUGCAACAGCGGAGAGUGGAGAGAAAGGGAAGAAAGAUGCUUUGGAUGAGUCGCUGGUAGUCAUACCCACUCCAUUCUUCUGGUUUAAUUAAGCCUGUUCUCUCCAGUCCAUUCUCACUGACUCAUCUAAUAAAGUCUUAUCACCACUUUGCUUCUGUUCCUUA